UACGUAGGGUGCGAGCGUUGUCCGGAAUUAUUGGGCGUAAAGAGCUCGUAGGCGGUUUGCCACGUCUGCUGUGAAAUCCCGAGGCUCAACCUCGGGCCUGCAGUGGGUACGGGCAGACUGGAGUGCGGUAGGGGAGAAUGGAAUUCCUGGUGUAGCGGUGAAAUGCGCAGAUAUCAGGAGGAACACCGGUGGCGAAGGCGGUUCUCUGGGCAUUACCUGACGCUGAGGAGCGAAAGUGUGGGGAGCGAACAGG
rnacentral:rRNA from 1 species